rnacentral:rRNA from 1 species
AUUGAACGCUGGCGGCAGGCCUAACACAUGCAAGUCGAACGGUAACAGGAAGAAGCUUGCUUCUUUGCUGACGAGUGGCGGACGGGUGAGGAAUGUCUGGGAAACUGCCUGAUGGAGGGGGAUAACUACUGGAAACGGUAGCUAAUACCGCAUAACGUCGCAAGACCAAAGAGGGGGACCUUCGGGCCUCUUGCCAUCGGAUGUGCCCAGAUGGGAUUAGCUAGUAGGUGGGGUAACGGCUCACCUAGGCGACGAUCCCUAGCUGGUCUGCGAGGAUGACCAGGCACACUGGAACUGAGACACGGUCCAGACUCUUACGGGAGGCAGCAGUGGGGAAUAUUGCACAAUGGGCGCAAGCCUGAUGCAGCCAUGCCGCGUGUAUGAAGAAGGACUUCGGGUUGUAAAGUACUUUCAGCGGGGAGGAAGGGAGUAAAGUUAAUACCUUUGCUCAUUGACGUUACCCGCAUAAGAAGCACCGGCUAACUCCGUG